ACUGGUGAGUAACACGUGGGUAAUUUACCUUCUUGUGGGGAAUAACCCUGGGAAACUAGGGCUAAUACCGCAUACGUCCGAGAGGAGAAAGCCGCAAGGCGCAGGAAGAGAAGCCCGCGGCCGAUUAGCUAGUUGGUGAGGUAAUGGCUCACCAAGGCGACGAUCGGUAGCCGGCCUGAGAGGGCACACGGCCACACUGGCACUGAAACACGGGCCAGACUCCUACGGGAGGCAGCAGUGGGGAAUCUUGCACAAUGGGGGAAACCCUGAUGCAGCGACGCCGCGUGAACGAUGAAGCCCUUCGGGGUGUAAAGUUCUUUCGACGGGGACGAUAAUGACGGUACCCGGAGAAGAAGCUGCGGCUAACUACGUGCCAGCAGCCGCGGUAAUACGUAGGCAGCAAGCGUUGUUCGGAAUUACUGGGCGUAAAGAGUGCGUAGGUGGUUGGCUAAGUUUGGUGUGAAAUCUCCCGGCUUAACUGGGAGGGUGCGCCGAAAACUGGUUGACUAGAGUGUGGGAGAGGGACGUGGAAUUCCUGGUGUAGCGGUGAAAUGCGUAGA
rnacentral:rRNA from 1 species